UACGGGGGGAGCAAGCGUUGUUCGGAUUUACUGGGCGUAAAGGGCGCGUAGGCGGCCUGCUAAGUCGAACGUGAAAUCCCCAGGCUCAACCUGGGAACUGCGUCCGAUACUGACAGGCUUGAAUCCGGGAGAGGGAUGUGGAAUUCCAGGUGUAGCGGUGAAAUGCGUAGAUAUCUGGAGGAACACCGGUGGCGAAGGCGGCAUCCUGGACCGGUAUUGACGCUGAGGCGCGAAAGCUAGGGUAGCAAACGGG
rnacentral:rRNA from 1 species